rnacentral:rRNA from 1 species
ACAGGCUUGAUUUUAAUAGCAGGGGGCUAGAAUCCCAGAUGUAGCGAUAAAUUCUUUUAGAUAUGGAGAACCCCGGUGGCGAAGGCGGCCCCUUGGACGAAGAUUGACGCUCAGGUGCGAAAGCUUGGGGAGCAAACAGGAUUAGAUCCCCGGGUUUUCCACGCGGUAAACGAUGUCGACUUGGAGGCUGUUCCCUUGAGGAGUGGUUUCCGGAGAUAACGCGUUAAGUGGUCCGCCUGGGGUGUACGGCCGCAAGGUUAAAACUCAAAUGAAUUGACGGGGGCCCGCACAAGCGGUGGAGCAUGUGGUUUAAUUCGAUGCAACGCGAAGAACCUUACCUGGCCUUGACAUCCAGAGAACUUAGCAGAGAUGCUUCGGUGCCUUCGGGAACUCUGAGACAGGUGCUGCAUGGCUGUCGUCAGCUCGUGUUGUGAAAUGUUGGGUUAAGUCCCGCAACGAGCGCAACCCUUAUCCUUUGUUGCCAGCGGGUAAUGCCGGGAACUCAAAGGAGACUGCCGGUGAUAAACCGGAGGAAGGUGGGGAUGACGUCAAGUCAUCAUGGCCCUUACGGCCAGGGCUACACACGUGCUACAAUGGCGCAUACAAAGAGAAGCGACCUCGCGAGAGCAAGCGGACCUCAUAAAGUGCGUCGUAGUCCGGAUCGGAGUCUGCAACUCGACUCCGUGAAGUCGGAAUCGCUAGUAAUCGUAGAUCAGAAUGCUACGGUGAAUACGUUCCCGGGCCUUGUACACACCGCCCGUCACACCAUGGGAUGUGGGUUGCAAAAGAAGUAGGUAGCUUAACCUCCGGGAGGGCGCUUACCAUCUUGGAUACAU